CAGUCGCCGCGGUAAUACGUAGGUCCCGAGCGUUGUCCGGAUUUAUUGGGCGUAAAGGGAGCACAGGCGGUUUAGUAAGUCUGAAGUUAAAGGCAUUGGCUCAACCAAUGUAUGCUUUGGAAACUGUUAGACUUGAGUGCAGAAGGGGAGAGUGGAAUUCCAUGUGUAGCGGUGAAAUGCGUAGAUAUAUGGAGGAACACCGGUGGCGAAAGCGGCUCUCUGGUCUGUCACUGACGCUGAGGCUCGAAAGCGUGGGUAGCGAACAGGAUUAGAGACCCCCGUAGUCCCUGUCUCUUAUACA
rnacentral:rRNA from 1 species